rnacentral:rRNA from 1 species
UUAAGCGACUAAGCGUACACGGUGGAUGCCCUGGCAGUCAGAGGCGAUGAAGGACGUGCUAAUCUGCGAUAAGCGUCGGUAAGGUGAUAUGAACCGUUAUAACCGGCGAUUUCCGAAUGGGGAAACCCAGUGUGUUUCGACACACUAUCAUUAACUGAAUCCAUAGGUUAAUGAGGCGAACCGGGGGAACUGAAACAUCUAAGUACCCCGAGGAAAAGAAAUCAACCGAGAUUCCCCCAGUAGCGGCGAGCGAACGGGGAGCAGCCCAGAGCCUGAAUCAGUAUGUGUGUUAGUGGAAGCGUCUGGAAAGGCGCGCGAUACAGGGUGACAGCCCCGUACACAAAAAUGCACAUGCUGUGAGCUCGAUGAGUAGGGCGGGACACGUGGUAUCCUGUCUGAAUAUGGGGGGACCAUCCUCCAAGGCUAAAUACUCCUGACUGACCGAUAGUGAACCAGUACCGUGAGGGAAAGGCGAAAAGAACCCCGGCGAGGGGAGUGAAAAAGAACCUGAAACCGUGUACGUACAAGCAGUGGGAGCACGCUUAGGCGUGUGACUGCGUACCUUUUGUAUAAUGGGUCAGCGACUUAUAUUCUGUAGCAAGGUUAACCGAAUAGGGGAGCCGAAGGGAAACCGAGUCUUAACUGGGCGUUAAGUUGCAGGGUAUAGACCCGAAACCCGGUGAUCUAGCCAUGGGCAGGUUGAAGGUUGGGUAACACUAACUGGAGGACCGAACCGACUAAUGUUGAAAAAUUAGCGGAUGACUUGUGGCUGGGGGUGAAAGGCCAAUCAAACCGGGAGAUAGCUGGUUCUCCCCGAAAGCUAUUUAGGUAGCGCCUCGUGAAUUCAUCUCCGGGGGUAGAGCACUGUUUCGGCAAGGGGGUCAUCCCGACUUACCAACCCGAUGCAAACUGCGAAUACCGGAGAAUGUUAUCACGGGAGACACACGGCGGGUGCUAACGUCCGUCGUGAAGAGGGAAACAACCCAGACCGCCAGCUAAGGUCCCAAAGUCAUGGUUAAGUGGGAAACGAUGUGGGAAGGCCCAGACAGCCAGGAUGUUGGCUUAGAAGCAGCCAUCAUUUAAAGAAAGCGUAAUAGCUCACUGGUCGAGUCGGCCUGCGCGGAAGAUGUAACGGGGCUAAACCAUGCACCGAAGCUGCGGCAGCGACACUAUGUGUUGUUGGGUAGGGGAGCGUUCUGUAAGCCUGUGAAGGUGUGCUGUGAGGCAUGCUGGAGGUAUCAGAAGUGCGAAUGCUGACAUAAGUAACGAUAAAGCGGGUGAAAAGCCCGCUCGCCGGAAGACCAAGGGUUCCUGUCCAACGUUAAUCGGGGCAGGGUGAGUCGACCCCUAAGGCGAGGCCGAAAGGCGUAGUCGAUGGGAAACAGGUUAAUAUUCCUGUACUUGGUGUUACUGCGAAGGGGGGACGGAGAAGGCUAUGUUGGCCGGGCGACGGUUGUCCCGGUUUAAGCGUGUAGGCUGGUUUUCCAGGCAAAUCCGGAAAAUCAAGGCUGAGGCGUGAUGACGAGGCACUACGGUGCUGAAGCAACAAAUGCCCUGCUUCCAGGAAAAGCCUCUAAGCAUCAGGUAACAUCAAAUCGUACCCCAAACCGACACAGGUGGUCAGGUAGAGAAUACCAAGGCGCUUGAGAGAACUCGGGUGAAGGAACUAGGCAAAAUGGUGCCGUAACUUCGGGAGAAGGCACGCUGAUAUGUAGGUGAAGUCCCUCGCGGAUGGAGCUGAAAUCAGUCGAAGAUACCAGCUGGCUGCAACUGUUUAUUAAAAACACAGCACUGUGCAAACACGAAAGUGGACGUAUACGGUGUGACGCCUGCCCGGUGCCGGAAGGUUAAUUGAUGGGGUUAGCGCAAGCGAAGCUCUUGAUCGAAGCCCCGGUAAACGGCGGCCGUAACUAUAACGGUCCUAAGGUAGCGAAAUUCCUUGUCGGGUAAGUUCCGACCUGCACGAAUGGCGUAAUGAUGGCCAGGCUGUCUCCACCCGAGACUCAGUGAAAUUGAACUCGCUGUGAAGAUGCAGUGUACCCGCGGCAAGACGGAAAGACCCCGUGAACCUUUACUAUAGCUUGACACUGAACAUUGAGCCUUGAUGUGUAGGAUAGGUGGGAGGCUUAGAAGUGUGGACGCCAGUCUGCAUGGAGCCGACCUUGAAAUACCACCCUUUAAUGUUUGAUGUUCUAACGUUGACCCGUAAUCCGGGUUGCGGACAGUGUCUGGUGGGUAGUUUGACUGGGGCGGUCUCCUCCUAAAGAGUAACGGAGGAGCACGAAGGUUGGCUAAUCCUGGUCGGACAUCAGGAGGUUAGUGCAAUGGCAUAAGCCAGCUUGACUGCGAGCGUGACGGCGCGAGCAGGUGCGAAAGCAGGUCAUAGUGAUCCGGUGGUUCUGAAUGGAAGGGCCAUCGCUCAACGGAUAAAAGGUACUCCGGGGAUAACAGGCUGAUACCGCCCAAGAGUUCAUAUCGACGGCGGUGUUUGGCACCUCGAUGUCGGCUCAUCACAUCCUGGGGCUGAAGUAGGUCCCAAGGGUAUGGCUGUUCGCCAUUUAAAGUGGUACGCGAGCUGGGUUUAGAACGUCGUGAGACAGUUCGGUCCCUAUCUGCCGUGGGCGCUGGAGAACUGAGGGGGGCUGCUCCUAGUACGAGAGGACCGGAGUGGACGCAUCACUGGUGUUCGGGUUGUCAUGCCAAUGGCACUGCCCGGUAGCUAAAUGCGGAAGAGAUAAGUGCUGAAAGCAUCUAAGCACGAAACUUGCCCCGAGAUGAGUUCUCCCUGACCCUUUAAGGGUCCUGAAGGAACGUUGAAGACGACGACGUUGAUAGGCCGGGUGUGUAAGCGCAGCGAUGCGUUGAGCUAACCGGUACUAAUGAACCGUGAGGCUUAACCUU